ACGGGAGCUUGCUCCCUUAGGUCAGCGGCGGACGGGUGAGUAACACGUGGGUAACCUGCCUGUAAGACUGGGAUAACUCCGGGAAACCGGGGCUAAUACCGGAUGCUUGAUUGAGCCGCAUGGUUCAAUUAUAAAAGGUGGCUUUCAGCUACCACUUACAGAUGGACCCGCGGCGCAUUAGCUAGUUGGUGAGGUAACGGCUCACCAAGGCGACGAUGCGUAGCCGACCUGAGAGGGUGAUCGGCCACACUGGGACUGAGACACGGCCCAGACUCCUACGGGAGGCAGCAGUAGGGAAUCUUCCGCAAUGGACGAAAGUCUGACGGAGCAACGCCGCGUGAGUGAUGAAGGUUUUCGGAUCGUAAAACUCUGUUGUUAGGGAAGAACAAGUACCGUUCGAAUAGGGCGGCACCUUGACGGUACCUAACCAGAAAGCCACGGCUAACUACGUGCCAGCAGCCGCGGUAAUACGUAGGUGGCAAGCGUUGUCCGGAAUUAUUGGGCGUAAAGCGCGCGCAGGCGGUUUCUUAAGUCUGAUGUGAAAGCCCCCGGCUCAACCGGGGAGGGUCAUUGGAAACUGGGGAACUUGAGUGCAGAAGAGGAGAGUGGAAUUCCACGUGUAGCGGUGAAAUGCGUAGAGAUGUGGAGGAACACCAGUGGCGAAGGCGACUCUC
rnacentral:rRNA from 1 species